rnacentral:rRNA from 1 species
CAGGAUUUAGAUACCCUGGUAGUCCACGCCGUAAACGAUGUCGACUUGGAGGUUGUUCCCUUGAGGAGUGGCUUCCGGAGCUAACGCGUUAAGUCGACCGCCUGGGGAGUACGGCCGCAAGGUUAAAACUCAAAUGAAUUGACGGGGGCCCGCACAAGCGGUGGAGCAUGUGGUUUAAUUCGAUGCAACGCGAAGAACCUUACCUACUCUUGACAUCCAGCGAACUUUCCAGAGAUGCNUUGGUGCCUUCGGGAACGCUGAGACAGGUGCUGCAUGGCUGUCGUCAGCUCGUGUUGUGAAAUGUUGGGUUAAGUCCCGCAACGAGCGCAACCCUUAUCCUUUGUUGCCAGCGAUUCGGUCGGGAACUCAAAGGAGACUGCCGGUGAUAAACCGGAGGAAGGUGGGGAUGACGUCAAGUCAUCAUGGCCCUUACGAGUAGGGCUACACACGUGCUACAAUGGCGCAUACAAAGAGAAGCGACCUCGCGAGAGCAAGCGGACCUCACAAAGUGCGUCGUAGUCCGGAUCGGAGUCUGCAACUCGACUCCGUGAAGUCGGAAUCGCUAGUAAUCGUGGAUCAGAAUGCCACGGUGAAUACGUUCCCGGGCCUUGUACACACCGCCCGUCACACCAUGGGAGUGGGUUGCAAAAGAAGUAGGUAGCUUAACCUUCGGGAGGGCGCUUACCACUUUGUGAUUCAUGACUGGGGUGAAGUCG